rnacentral:rRNA from 1 species
CGGUCCAGACUCCUACGGGAGGCAGCAGUAAGAAUCUUCCGCGAUGGGCGAAAGCCUGACGAAACGCCGCGUGAUGAUGAAGGUUUCGGAUCGUAAACUCUGUUGUUAGGAAGAACAAAUUUGUUAGUAACUUGAACAAGUCUGACGGUACCUAACCAGAAAGCCACGGCUAACUACGUGCCAGCAGCCGCGGUAA